rnacentral:rRNA from 1 species
UACGUAGGGACCGAGCGUUGUCCGGAUUCAUUGGGCGUAAAGAGCUCGUAGGCGGUUUGUCGCGUCUGCUGUGAAAAACCUAAGGCUCAACCUUGGGCUUGCAGUGGGUACGGGCAGACUAGAGUGCGGUAGGGGUGACUGGAAAUUCCUGGUGUAGCGGUGAAAUGCGCAGAUAUCAGGAGGGAACACCGGUGGCGAAGGCGGGUCUCUGGGCCGAUACUGACGCUGGAGGAGCGAAAAGCGUGGGGAGCGAACAGG